UUAUUAACCUCAGUUUGGAGACCUGAAACUGAAACUGAGAUGAGCAUGCACUCAGUCCAUGAUAGCGUUGGCAGCGGGCACCAGGCAGCUUCCCAUGCUGACUCGGACACCCGUGGCAUCACCCUGCAUCUGGGAGCGCUUACACAGGGCCUGUGGCCUCCUUCCUUCUGUUCAACAACAGUUACAGAAAACAGAAAUUGAGCUGAACAUCAUAAUGAAGAAAAUAAAGACAGGAAGAGAAAAGGCGGAAGGUGGUACAUGCAAAAUUCUCGAAGUCCAAGGAGAGGCUGGACCUGAAGGUGAACAAGUCUGCUGACCAAGAGAAGUUUUCAGAGAAAGGUCAAGGGAGCACCACUGUGUACAAGGCUGUCUCUUUCUCCACCCUCCCCUCCCCACUAAGCAAAAUCAAUGGAAGGACCUAGAACAGAGUAAGUUAUGUUCCGGGGCUGCAUGGCCUGUAUUCCCAUUGGAC
rnacentral:lncRNA from 1 species